rnacentral:rRNA from 1 species
UACGGGGGGGGCAAGCGUUGUUCGGAAUUACUGGGCGUAAAGGGCUCGUAGGCGGCCAACUAAGUCAGACGUGAAAUCCCUCGGCUUAACCGGGGAACUGCGUCUGAUACUGGAUGGCUUGAGUUCGGGAGAGGGAUGCGGAAUUCCAGGUGUAGCGGUGAAACGCGUAGAUAUCUGGAGGAACACCGGUGGCGAAGGCGGCGUUCUGGACUGCAUCUGACACUGAAAGACGAAAGCCAGGGGAGCAAACGGG